UAAUACGUAGGGGGCAAGCGUUGUCCGGAAUUAUUGGGCGUAAAGCGCGCGCAGGCGGUCAUUUAAGUCUGGUGUUUAAUCUCGGGGCUCAACUCCGGGUCGCACUGGAAACUGGGUGACUUGAGUGCAGAAGAGGAGAGUGGAAUUCCACGUGUAGCGGUGAAAUGCGUAGAGAUGUGGAGGAACACCAGUGGCGAAGGCGACUCUCUGGGCUGUAACUGACGCUGAGGCGCGAAAGCGUGGGGAGCAAACAGGAUUAGAUACCCUGGUAGUCCACGCUGUAAACGAUGAAUGCUAGGUGUUAGGGGUUUCGAUACCCUUGGUGCCGAAGGAAACCCAUUAAGCAUUCCGCCUGGGGAGUACGGUCGCAAGACUGAA
rnacentral:rRNA from 1 species